UGAGGAAUAUUGGUCAAUGGACGGAAGUCUGAACCAGCCAAGUAGCGUGCAGGAUGACGGCCCUAUGGGUUGUAAACUGCUUUUGUAUGGGGAUAAAGUUAGGGACGUGUCCCUAUUUGCAGGUACCAUACGAAUAAGGACCGGCUAAUUCCGUGCCAGCAGCCGCGGUAAUACGGAAGGUCCAGGCGUUAUCCGGAUUUAUUGGGUUUAAAGGGAGCGUAGGCUGGAGAUUAAGUGUGUUGUGAAAUGUAGACGCUCAACGUCUGAAUUGCAGCGCAUACUGGUUUCCUUGAGUACGCACAACGUUGGCGGAAUUCGUCGUGUAGCGGUGAAAUGCUUAGAUAUGACGAAGAACUCCGAUUGCGAAGGCAGCUGGCGGGAGCGCAACUGACGCUUAAGCUCGAAGGUGCGGGUAUCAAACAGGAUUAGAUACCCUGGUAGUCCGCACAGUAAACGAUGGAUGCCCGCUGUUGGUACCUGGUAUCAGCGGCUAAGCGAAAGCAUUAAGCAUCCCACCUGGGGAGUACGCCGGCNCGGU
rnacentral:rRNA from 1 species